GCAGCGCUAAGCUUCGCUGGACGUUAAAUCAUAGGAGGCGCAGAACUCGCAAAGUCCCCCAAACUGCUGAGCGAACCAGCCUGAGGCGCUGCGCCAGCUAAGGUCCGGGAGGCGGCUGAAAGCAGAGUGGCGGGAGCGGCCGCGAGGCCGCCAAGUCGUGCGGAAAGAAGAGGAGUAAAGGCACUCACCUCCACCCAUCUCUGGGCCUCGGCGAACGCUAGGGCGCAGUCGGCCUCCGCCUCCUCCAUCACUUCCAGAACUAGGGGGAGAGGGGGAGAGAGAGACAUAGUGGGUGCGCGGAAAGGCGGGAGGUGCCACUGCUCCGGCCUCUCUCCGGCUGCAAGACGCCCGGGCUCUCCGACCCUUUGUUGCGCCCUGCAGUUCGGUAAAGUUUCGAACCCACGAGAACUUAAAGCCGCGGCUUUCUCUAAACUCCUGAACACGCCGCGGAGACCCAGGCGGAGCGCGGGAGGCGGAGCGGGCUACCAGAGGCGGCGCGCGGCACCAGCCCCGAGGACUGUUUGGACUUCAAAAGUGGCUGCGCGGCCGCCGCCCUCCCGGGAUGCCGCACCCCCGCCGCCCACUCCCGGCCUCCCAGCCGCCGCUUCCGUCCUCCCCACCCUACCCCCCGCCGCGCCCGGGGGCUCCCGGCCGCAGCGGCCCUUGUGGUCGGACAGUCUGGCCCAGGGGAUGCCACCGUCCGCCAGGAGGCCGUGGCCCGGGCCACGCACCCGCUCCCGCGCCGCCCGCCGGACCGCGGCCCCGCCCGGAGGAGAUGCGCCCCCGCGCCCGCAUCCUGUCCGCAUCCUUCCCGCCUCCGGCCGCCUGGCCGCCUUCCCUCUGCCGGGGCCCCGGGAAGCGGCGCCCCCAGGGCUCGCGGCCGCCCGGCCCGCCUGACAUACCAGGAAUAGCUGCUCACAAUUGCACCUUUUCCCAGCCAAGAGACGUCCCCCGCGGUGGAGCGCGGCCCGGCCCGCCGCCCUCACCUGCGGCCCGACUUCGCCGCGCGCCGCUCCCUCUCCGGCGGAGUCCGCCGCGCGCCCGCCCCGCCGCCAGGUGAGGACGUCCGCACUCCCGGGUCUCCGCCCCCUGCCGCGGCCGGAGCUCUCCUGGCGGCAGGUGAGGGUAGUGGCCUUGGCACGUGCGGCCCAUUUCCCCCAGCCUGGGCCAGCCCCUCUCCGCUUCGCUUCCAGAAAUCAGAUCUCCGGAAAGGAACCUGCUCGUCUGUCUAGGCUCCCUGGAAUCUCGCUUCAUGAUCCUGAAGCCCUAUCCGGGCCACACGUUGAUGUUGUCACUGUUGGAAGAAGAUAGAGAUCGGUUCUUACCCCGGUAAAGGAAGCCAUCCCUUUUUUCCCACCCCCCCCCCCCGUUUGAUCCUCUUUAUGAUGCAAAACGAUGUCAAGAGCAGAGAGACUAGUAUAAUGGAUAGCGAAAACCCAGUUUUGCCUUAUUUACCUCAUCACAUUUUCUCCUGAAAAUAUACAUAUUUCCUACUUAAAGAUAGAUAUUUCAUCUCUAAGUAUUAUAAUAUACAUCUCGUUCUUUAAAGAACGCUUUUCUACAUAACCAUAUUACCAUUUUCACACCUAACUAAAGCUAACCUUAAUUACUUAGUAUUAAUAUAUGCCCAGUCCAGACUCAAAUUCCUCCAAUGGAUUCCAAAAUGUCUUUUACAGCUGACUUAGACCAGAAAUUCAAACAAUAACCACACAUUGCAUUUUUUUUUUAGCCUAGUAUAGCCUCCUCCUUCUCUCCCACUCUACCCCCUCCCCCUUUUUAGAAUGACAUUAUCUUCUUAAAAAGAAACCAGGCAGACUUCUAGACUUGUCUUAUGGCUUCUUUGCGGUGUCUUCAACAUAUUUCUCUUCCCUCACUACUUCCUGUUACCUAGAAGUUAGAUCUAAAGGCUGGAUUAAACUCAUUUACACUUCUGAAUAAAGAUUUCACCGGCAUCCUUCCCGACUGGGGUGACUUCUAGAGGAUGGUGUUUAUUUGUUAUGUUUAUUUUCAUCCAACCCUUUUUUCACUGGCGUUGUCUGUAGUCAGUGGGUCUGUUUAGAAGAGCUCACAGUUGUUCCUGCUAAAGUGGGAAACCGUUGACUGGAUCAUCUCUUUGCCUCCUGACGACACCAUGAUCAGGACAAACCCAAAAUGAGGAUGAAAGGAUAAACGAAACUAGGAAGAAAUUUCUUUCCGGCUAUUUAAGACCUGUUCUAUUAAAUAUUUAGUGAGCACAUUAUAUGUGUAAUUUAAAAAUUUUAGACAGUGAAUCCUAUGGACUUCCAACCCAGUAGAAAGACAGACAUUCUGCAAGCUUCAUGAGAGUUACUGUUACUACAGUUGUUUUAUAUAUAUAUACUAUACCAUUUAAAGCUACUGCUGUGUCACUUGACUUACAGCUUUGGGGGCAGCAGCCCAGGAUGGCAAGAAGUGCACAGGCUUGGGAACUUGUAUGACUAAGGUUACCAAGUUACCAAAUUCUCUGAGCUUCAAUUUCCUCACCUGAAAAAUGUGGCGAUAAUAACUACUUCAAAGGGUUCUUGUGAGAAUUAAAUAUGAUGGUGUAUGUAAAAGCCAAGGACAUUGCUUGGCAUGGAGCAGGCACUUAAUAAAUGAUGGUUAUUUCCCAUU